rnacentral:rRNA from 1 species
UACAGAGGGUGCAAGCGUUAAUCGGAAUUACUGGGCGUAAGGCGUGCGUAGACGGUUAUUUAAGUCAGGUGUGAAAGCCCAGGGCUCAACCUUGGAAUUGCAUUUGAGACUGAAUAGCUAGGGUGCGGAAGAGGGAAGCGGAAUUUCCGGUGUAGCGGUGAAAUGCGUAGAUAUCGGAAGGAACACCAGUGGCGAAAGCGGCUUCCUGGUCCAGCACCGACGUCAGGCACGAAAGCGUGGGGAGCAAACAGG